rnacentral:rRNA from 1 species
AUUGAACGCUGGCGGCAUGCCUUACACAUGCAAGUCGAACGGCAGCACGGGAGCAAUCCUGGUGGCGAGUGGCGAACGGGUGAGUAAAGUAUCGGAACGUGCCCAGUCGUGGGGGAUAACGUAGCGAAAGUUACGCUAAUACCGCAUACGAUCUAUGGAUGAAAGCGGGGGAUCGCAAGACCUCGCGCGAUUGGAGCGGCCGAUAUCAGAUUAGGUAGUUGGUGGGGUAAAGGCCCACCAAGCCGACGAUCUGUAGCUGGUCUGAGAGGACGACCAGCCACACUGGGAAUGAGACACGGCCCAGACUCCUACGGGGGGCAGCAGUGGGGAAUUUUGGACAAUGGGCGAAAGCCUGAUCCAGCCAUGCCGCGUGCAGGAUGAAGGCCUUCGGGUUGCAAACUGCUUUUGUACGGAACGAAAAGGACUGCCCUAAUACGGUGGUCCCAUGACGGUACCGUAGGAAUAAGCACCGGCUAACUACGUGCCAGCCGCCGCGGUAA